AAAAUUGAUAGCCCAAUAGCCCAUUUGCGGUGCCUUCUCCUCGAAUUUUGCCUGAAAGAAUCGACCUCCGCCCGUCCCACCCCUUGAAGACAAGAUCGGUAGCCCAAUAGCCCAUUUUGUGGUUCUUUCUCUUCGAAUUUUGCACUAGGCGCAGUUAGAUAUCCUCUCCAGGUGGCUCCGCCGUCGUUUGUGUAUGGUUAUGUCCUUGCCUUCAGCACCAGCCGUCCCUCAAGUGUAAUCCCCUCAUCCCCUUCCAUAUACCUGUAUUUUCUGUAAUUCAAUUAUUUAGAUUGGGGCAGUUAACUGAAUUUAUUCACAAUGUUGUGCCGACCUUCAGUUUCUUAUGCUUUACAUACAGCUCAUAGUUUAUUGAGGAAUAAAUGGAUGCCAUUAGUCACGAUUCAUCACCAUCCCUUCCUACUUUCUGUCCAUUUUUGUCGUUGUGAUAGGUGUACAGAAAUACCCAAGUCUCCAAUUUUUACAUCGAAUCGAACUUCACUUAUCAACCCAUCUUUUGUUUAUAGGAGAAUUUCUAGUUCAGCUACCGAAUUAGUUCUUCCAUUAAGAUUUGGUGGUUAUAGGUUUAGGCAAUUUUGCACUUUAGAAGCAGUUGCAUUGGAGGAAAUAUCUCAAACUAGAUGUAAUGAUGUUAUUGACAAGGUGUACAGAACAGUCUUAGAUAACUCCCAUCCUGAGCAUAAAAUGGAAUGGGCUCUUGAUAAACUAGGUAUGGAACUGACAACACCUCUGGUGGUAGAGGUCUUACACAGGCUUCGUUUUGAGGAGAAAUUGGCAUUUAGGUUUUUUAAUUGGGCAGGGCAUCAAGAACACUAUAGUCAUGAGCCUCAGGCGUAUAAUGAGAUGAUUGACAUUUUAUCAAGUACAAAGUACAAGGUGAAGCAGUUCCGGAUUGUGUGUGAUCUGCUGGAUUAUAUGAAAAGGAACGACAAGAGUUCUGUUCCUAUUGAGGUUUUGUUGACCAUUUUGAGACAGUAUACCGAGAAGCACUUGACACAUCUUCAAAAGUUUGCAAAGAAGAAGAAGAUAAGGGUGAAGACUCAACCGGAAAUUAAUGCAUUUAAUUUGUUGCUUGAUGCUAUGUGUAAGUGUAGUCUUGUUGAGGAUGCUGAAGCUAUGUUUAAGCGGGUGAUGCACAAGAUCAAACCAAAUGCUGACACAUACAAUAUUUUGUUUUUUGGAUGGUGCAGGGUCAGAAACCCAGCAAGAUCUAUGAUUGUGCUUGAGGAUAUGAUGAAAAUGGGACAUACUCCAGAUAAUUUUAUGUAUAAUACUGCCAUUGAUACCUUCUGCAAAUCAGGUAUGGUGAUUGAAGCUGUUGAAAUUUUGGAGUUUAUGAAAUCAAAAGGCUCAACUAUGUCUUCUCCUACUGCAAAAACUUAUGCUAUAAUGAUUGUGGCUCUUGCUCAGAAUGACAGAAUGGAGGAAUGCUUCAAACUCUUAGCGGAUAUGAGAAAUAGUGGCUGCCUUCCAGAUGUGUCAACAUACAAAGACCUGAUUGAAGGAAUGUGUUUGGUUGGAAAGAUUGAGGCAGCCUAUAGAGUUUUGGAUGAGAUGAGCAAGUCGGGUUACCCUCCUGAUGUUGUUACAUACAACUGUUUCCUGAAGGUUCUUUGUGAUAAUAAAGACAGCAACGAAGCUCUUAGGCUAUACAGGAAAAUGAUUGAGGUGAAUUGUGUGCCAAGUGUACAAACUUAUAAUAUGCUGAUUGUAAUGUUUUUCAAGAUAGGUGAUCCUGAUGGAGCGUUUGAGACCUGGCAGGAGAUGGAUAAGAGGGGCUGUGCACGGGACGUGGAUACUUAUUGCGUGAUGGUUGAAGGGCUUUUUGAUUCUGGUAAUGCCAAGGAAGCAAAUGUUCUUUUAGAAGAAAUUGUAAACAGGGGAAUGAAGUUUCCAUACCGGAAAUUUGAUGCAUUCUUGAUGCAGCUUUCUGCUAUUGGUGAUCUCCAUGCUAUUCAAAGACUAUCAGAGCACAUGAGGAAAUUCUACAAUCCUGCUAUGGCACGUCGUUUUGCUUUAAAUCAGAAGCGAAAAAGCAUGAGCUUAAGAGGGAAGUGAACAAGAACUUUUGUGGGUUAUUGUAUGGUUUGAAAUGAUUUCUCUGCACUGUUAUGGCGUUUCUGUUUGUGAAAUCUAAAUAAUGACGAGAGUUAUACCUGAAAAGCACAGAAGGAAAAAGUUUCUCGAGGCUUCAGAAUGCUUGAUUUGAUUGAUAAUUUGGCUUCAAGAUAUGGUACACAUGUGCUCCCCACCCAACUAAAGAAAAAAACAAGGGUGGCCAUGCCUGGCUGGCUUUGUCAUGAAUGCUGUGGGGUGCGCUCAAAUUUAAGCCUUUUGUGUAUACACAAUAAAAGAUGAAGUCUGUUUGAGUUGCAAACCAGAGUACUCUUCAAGAGUAGGUUACAAGAGGUUAGAGCAAUCGGGUAUGUCUUGCAAAUAUAGCACGAGUUACUAGUGCAUCUCGUUACAGGUCUGCAGGGGUGCAUUCGUUAAGUUUAAGCUUAUUUUACAACAUCGGAAAUGUUAUAAAUCUUUUCCCUGUCGUUGCAAGCUUACAAGAGGUUAAAGCAAUCGGGUAUGUCUUGCAAAAAUAGCACGAGUUACUAGUGUAUCUCGUUGGCUUAUCUUUUGCAUGACAUUUCAUAUUCUCUCACAAUUCAGAAUGUACAUUUCCAAGGUCAGAUUUGAAGUUGCUUGUGAACUCUUUGGUUUUGUUGUCGAUGCCUAGAAUUUUUUCAUUCUUUUCUCAUGCGCCCAUCUACUUGUACACAAACAAUUACAUUACACGUACACAGACAAUUACACGUGUAUCUCUGAGUAUAGGCAAAUCUAUUCUGAUUAAUGCUUUAGCAAACUUAUGGUGCCAUUUUUCCUUGAGCUUGAUUGAGAUCAUAUAAAGAUUGGGCAAGUUUGCACAUUUUGUGUUAUUGUCCUGUACCACGUUAUUGCUGCAUAUAUGUUUUUCAACUUAAUGUACUAUUUGGAAAUGCAGUUUUUAUGUUCAUAUCAUGAUCUCUAGAUUUGUAUAAAUAACUUCCCACCUUCAAGAAUUUGUGAAGGAACUCGAGAGACUUGUCUGGUUUUCCCGUAUGUUUAUUUUCUAAGAGGAAGAUUGACAGUGUUCCCUUUGAAAUUCUGCUAGCAUUUGAUAUAUUAUGGAGUAAUUUAAGCUUCUUAUAUUAUGAAAAUGCUGAUUGAAGAUGUUGACAUACUAAAAGUGCAGCCCAAAUCGAAUAGCCCAAGAAAUGAAGUCCAACUGGACAAUUCAGGAUAAA